rnacentral:lncRNA from 1 species
AAUGCGACAUCGAGGAAAGGCCGGUGCACCUCAAUUGCUUGAGGAAUUGACCGGACGACCUCCAGGAAGUUGGAGUCGUGUUCGGGUGACCUCAAUGUCCCCCGGGUCACCACCAUGCUUCAUGGUGAUGCUAGAUCUCGAAUGUCUUCGUUUUGAGCGGAAGAAUGGAUGUCCAUGAGAUUUUCUCAAAAUUUGGACCAUUAUAUCUCUUCCAGGUUGACCAAUUUGGUCAAACCAAAGCCUAUAUGAGUCGGUGUCCCAAAUAUCAUGUAUGGCGACAACAUGGGAUUCGAUAUUCGAAUCGUAGUGACAUACAGUUCACUAGAUUGACUCAUGAAUUUCUCCAAGAUGCGCUUCAGUGCGCAUUCAUGAGGAGGUAUACACAAAAGAAUUCUUGUUCAUUCUCACAAUGUGUUUUCAAAUGAAAACCAUUAGCAGGAAUGUCUUUAAAACUUAACACGGUUCCUUAGAAUGUUGUGGAUAGUUCCACUAUCUGCGAAGCACUCAAUGUCUCUAUGAGACAUAACUACAAGGAGUAGAUAGGCGAGUAAAUAGUUCUACUUGAACCAUUUAGAAGGAUUGAAAGAAGCUACGAAAAGCUGCAAUCCCGAGAGUGCAUAAAAAUUUCCGCGCAGAAUGACCUUUAUGCACUAAAACAGCCAUAACUUCUUCGUUAAAAUAGAUAUGGACGAACCAUGAAAAGUUCUAAAAACUAGACUCGUAGAGCUUUCCAAUGAUAUAAAGCUCACUGUCUGGUUCAUCCGGAGCUGUUCAAAAAGCUCAAAUGAAGUUGACUGUCCAGAAGGGACAGAUUGCUGUUUUUCGCAGAUUUGGCAUGUGCGAAGCUGUGAAGCUUGCAGGUGGCGUGUAGGCUUUUGCCUUAGCCAAAAGUGACGUGUGUAUGAUCAAAACCAAGUCCUUUCGGUCGUUCUAAGGUCGUAAACUCCAUGACUAGUUAGCAAAAGCUCCCUGACAUGAACAUAAACUAAUUUAGAGGACCUAGAGGAUCCGAUCAUGAUGAUAAUUUUCCAGCUUUGAUAAGUCUUCAACGUUCUUUUG